UACGGAGGAUGCGAGCGAUAUCCGGAUUUAUUGGGUUUAAAGGGUGCGCAGGCGGAAGAUCAAGUCAGCGGUAAAAUUGAGAGGCUCAACCUCUUCGAGCCGUUGAAACUGGGGAUCUAGAGUGUGCGAGAGGUAUGCGGAAUGCGUGGUGUAGCGGUGAAAUGCAUAGAUAUCACGCAGAACCCCGAUUGCGAAGGCAGCAUACCGGCGCCCUACUGACGCUGAGGCACGAAAGUGCGGGUAUCGAACAGG
rnacentral:rRNA from 1 species